CCGUUCUUAGUUGGUGGAGCGAUUUGUCUGGUUAAUUCCGAUAACGAACGAGACUCUAGCCUACUAAAUAGACUGCUCAACUUUAUAGCUGCAUCACCUUGCAGUUGCUUCGGUGGCUGUAAGGCUGUGGUGACGUUGGCAGUGCUUCUUAGAGGGACAGGCGGCGGUUCAGCCGCACGAAACAGAGCAAUAACAGGUCUGUGAUGCCCUUAGAUGUCCAGGGCCGCACGCAAGCUAAACUGAAGUGAUCAGCGUGCAAUUAACGUUUCCUACUCCGUCAGGAGUGGGUAACCCGUUGAACCUUCUUCGUGAUUGGGAUAGGGGAUUGUAAUUAUUCCCCUUGAACGAGGAAUUCCCAGUAAGCGCAAGUCAUAAGCUUGCGUUGAUUACGUCCCUGCCCUUUGUACACACCGCCCGUCGCUACUACCGAUUGAAUGAAUUAGUGAGGUCUUCGGACUGGCCUGUGAGGCUGUUUCGGCAGCCGCGCAUGGCUCGGGAAGAUGCCCAAACUUGUUCAUUUAGAGGAAGUAAAAGUCGUAACAAGGUUUCCGUAGGUGAACCUGCGGAAGGAUCAAGC
rnacentral:rRNA from 1 species